CACGAACGCUGGCGGCAGGCUUAACACAUGCAAGUCGAGCGCCCCGCAAGGGGAGCGGCAGACGGGUGAGUAACGCGUGGGAAUCUACCCAUCUCUACGGAAUAACGCAUGGAAACGUGUGCUAAUACCGUAUACGUCCUUCGGGAGAAAGAUUUAUCGGAGAUGGAUGAGCCCGCGUUGGAUUAGCUAGUUGGUGGGGUAAAGGCCUACCAAGGCGACGAUCCAUAGCUGGUCUGAGAGGAUGAACAGCCACACUGGGACUGAGACACGGCCCAGACUCCUACGGGAGGCAGCAGUGGGGAAUAUUGGACAAUGGGCGCAAGCCUGAUCCAGCCAUGCCGCGUGAGUGAUGAAGGCCCUAGGGUUGUAAAGCUCUUUCGCCGGUGAAGAUAAUGACGGUAACCGGAGAAGAAGCCCCGGCUAACUUCGUGCCAGCCGCCGCCGUAACAC
rnacentral:rRNA from 1 species